UCACCUGGGAGCUUAGGAGAAAUGCAGAAUUUUGAGCCCACCCCAGACUCCUGAAUCAAAGACUACAUUUUAACAAGAUUCCCAGACAAAUCAACGGCUGGCCUGUGAAGAUGAGACAGAGGGGGAGAUCAAGGAAGUCAUCACUGGCAGGAGGGCCAAUAUCCAAAGUGGCAGGAGUGGAGUCCAAAAAGGUGCCAAAGUCAAGAGGAGCAGAUUUCGUUAGUGUAAUCGGUAGUGGAAGGAAGAAACCAGCAAUGUAAUUUAAGAGAAAACAGAACCCAG